rnacentral:rRNA from 1 species
UACGUAGGGUGCGAGCGUUAUUCGGAAUUACUGGGCGUAAAGCGUGCGUAGGCGGUCCGCGAAGUCUGAUGUGAAAGCCCCGGGCUCAACCUGGGAACUGCAUUGGAAACUGACGGGCUCGAGUGCGGCAGAGGGGGGUGGAAUUCCACGUGUAGCAGUGAAAUGCGUAGAGAUGUGGAGGAACACCGAUGGCGAAGGCAGCCCCCUGGGCUAACACUGACGCUCAGGCACGAAAGCGUGGGGAGCAAACAGG